UGUUUUGCUCUUUCUUCACGUCUUUGGUUGAUAGGAAACUGACCUAGUCAAGACUUGAGAUUUGAAGCUGUAAACGAAGGUAUUAAGGGGAAGAGUUUCAGUUGCUAAAAAGGAGGAAGUGGAGAUAAAGAGAGAGAAAAGAGAGGAGCUUGUUGGCAGCUCCUAAAAUCAAGGGAGAAGUGGACUAAAUCCAACAACUAUCAAACGGCCACUUCAUCCAUGAUCAAAGCCACGACUUCAAGCCUUGGGAAGCAAGAUUGAGAUGCCUAUAUAUACCAAGGAGAAGUCUCAGUUCAGAUCACGAAGUCUGAAGAUCAAAAUCGAGUCAUUUGAGUGAUCUGUGUACGAAUGCUGUUUAGAGUGUUAGGAUAACAUUGUUUAUAGCAUUCAUUGAUUUCGUCGGAUUUCGGAGUAUAGCUCUUGAAUCCAGUUUCUGUUUGUUAAUGAGAGUGUCUAGUGUUACAAUACCUAGAGUCUUGUAAAGGUAUUGAACGUGUAGUGUUCAUUCUCCAUUUAGUCAUUUUGCCAUAAGGCGUCUUCAAGUUAUAUUUUAUAACUUGAAGAAUUUUUGUAUCUCCUUGUGUCUCCCAUUUUUAUUUCCGCUGCAAUAUUUCUCUGUGUGGUUGUGCGUGCUGUUCCAACACUCUGCACAACAUUUUGUUCCAGACGAAGCAACACUAACAAUAUUUGAUAGAAAUAUCUUUAGAAAAAUUAUUCUCUUUCAACUUUAUUAUAAAUAUCAUUAUAUACCUAAAUCACCUACACCUUAAUACUUGUGUUCAAAUAAAAUGGGACGUUUCAAUUAUUUAAAACUUCCAACUUCUAAACGCAAAACGUCGAUCGAAUGAUGAAAUGGGCUCAAUUGACCAAUAUUAACUUCGAGUUACUAUUGAGGCUGCGUUUACUUUGAUGGAUAAAUCUAUCCAUGAAAAAUAAAGGGUAACAAAAGUUUAUGUCUUAAAAUAUCUUCUUUCUUUUUCAACAUUUAACACACAAAAGAGAUGAGGAAGGAAAAAAUGGUAAACAUCUCUUUUAUAUCAAAUAUUGGAAAGAAAAAAAAAAGACAUUUUAAGGUAUAAAUUUUUGUUAUCCGUCAUUUUUCAUGAAUAAAUUUAUCGAUCAAAGUAAACGCAGCCUGAGAAUUACAAUGCACUAUAUAUUUUGAAAUUAAAAUUGGGGAGCAUUAAAAUAGAAUAUUUGCAUGAUACAGAAAAUCCGGUACAAAAUAUUACUCCCUCCGUCCCAAACGAAAUGUCCUGUUUUCUUUUUUGGGCUGUCCCAAACGAAUGUCCUGUUUCCUUUUUUGGCAAUACACUCUCUCUCUAUACUUAAUAUUUAAAUAAUUUCCACCAACCCACUUUAUCUACUUUAUACACAUUUUUUAAUAAUCUCCGUGCCGAAAAGAAAUAGGACAUUUCGUUUGGGACGGAGGGAGUACNAGCAAGGGGGAGUGUAUGUGUUUUGUGAAGAAAGGCAAAAAGGGGGAGUUUGUUGGAGUUAUUUUUCUAACUCCAAAUUAAACUCACAAAUGCUUUGUUAUUGUUUUGCUCUUUCUUCACGUCUUUGGUUGAUAGGAAACUGACCUAGUCAAGACUUGAGAUUUGAAGCUGUAAACGAAGGUAUUAAGGGGAAGAGUUUCAGUUGCUAAAAAGGAGGAAGUGGAGAUAAAGAGAGAGAAAAGAGAGGAGCUUGUUGGCAGCUCCUAAAAUCAAGGGAGAAGUGGACUAAAUCCAACAACUAUCAAACGGCCACUUCAUCCAUGAUCAAAGCCACGACUUCAAGCCUUGGGAAGCAAGAUUGAGAUGCCUAUAUAUACCAAGGAGAAGUCUCAGUUCAGAUCACGAAGUCUGAAGAUCAAAAUCUAGUCAUUUGAG
rnacentral:lncRNA from 1 species